AGCCGCGGUAAUACGUAGGGUGCAAGCGUUAAUCGGAAUUACUGGGCGUAAAGCGUGCGCAGGCGGAUAUGUAAGUUAGAAGUGAAAUCCCCGGGCUCAACCUGGGAACUGCUUUUAAGACUGCGUAUCUAGAGUUUGUCAGAGGGGGGUGGAAUUCCAAGUGUAGCAGUGAAAUGCGUAGAGAUUUGGAGGAACACCGAUGGCGAAGGCAGCCCCCUGGGAUAAAACUGACGCUCAUGCACGAAAGCGUGGGUAGCAAACA
rnacentral:rRNA from 1 species